AUGGGGUCCGGGGCCAGGCUCUGCGGGGACACGGGCAACUUGGUGGCCACCAACGGGAACUUGGUGGCCACCACUGGGAUCUUGGUGGCCACCAUCGGGAUCUUUGGGGCCACCAACGGGAUCUUUGGGGCCACCACAAAGACCUUGGUGGCCACUACAAGGACCUUGGUGGCCACUAUGAUCUUGGUGGCCACCAUCGGGAUCUUGGUGGCCACCCCGACGACCUCAGUGGCCAUUCCAACCUUGGUGGCCACCACGAGGAUCUUGGUGGCCACUCCGACCUUGGUGGCCACCACAGGGACCUUGGUGGCCACUCUGACCUUGGUGGCCACCCCGAGGACCUUGCUGGCCAUUCUGACCUUGGUGGCCACCACAAGGAUCUUGGUGGCCACUCUGUCCUUGUUGGCCACCACGACGACCUUGGUGGCCAUUCCAACCUCGGUGGCCACCAUGAGGAUCUUGGUGGCCACCAUGAGGAUCUUGGUGGCCAUUUCGACCUUGGUGGCCACCACAAGGACCUUGGUGGCCACUCUGACCUUGGUGGCCACCACGACGACCUUGGUGGCCAUUUCGACCUUAGUGGCCACCAGGAGCACUUUGGUGGCCACUCUGACCUCAGUGGCCACCACGAAGACCUCAUUGGCCACUAUGAGGACCUUGGUGGCCAUUCUGACCUUGGUGGCCACCACUGGGCUCUUGGUGGCCAUUCCGACCUUGGUGGCCAUUUUGACCUCGGUGGCCACUCUGACCUUGGUGGCCACCACCAGGAUCUUGGUGGCCACUCCGACCUCGGUGGCCACUACCAGGCUCUUGGUGGCCACUACGAGGACCUUGCUGGCCAUUCUGACCUUGGUGGCCACCACAAGGAUCUUGGUGGCCAUUCCAACCUCGGUGGCCAACACAAGGACCUCGGUGGCCACUCUGACCUGGGUGGCCACCGUGACGACCUUGGUGGCCACUCUUACCUUGGUGGCCACCAUGAGGCUCUUGGUGGCCACUCCAACCUCGGUGGCCACCACCGGGCUCUUGGUGGCCACCACGAAAACCUCGGUGGCCAUUCUGACCUUGGUGGCCACCACGAAGACCUCGGUGGCCAUUCCGACCUUGGUGGGCACUCUGACCUCGGUGGCCACCACGAGGACUUUGGUAGCCAUUUUGACCUCAGUGGCCACUCUGACCUUGGUGGCCACCACCAGGAUCUUAGUGGCCACCCCAACGACCUCGGUGGCCACUCUGACCUUGGUGGCCACCACAAGGCUCUUGGUGGCCAUUCCGACCUCAGUGGCCACCAGGAGCACUUUGGUGGCCACCCCGACGACCUCGGUGGCCACUCCACCCUCGGUGGCCACCACGACGACCUAG
rnacentral:lncRNA from 1 species